rnacentral:misc_RNA from 1 species
AACCAAGUCAAAAAGUUUAAAUUAAAAAAAAGGCCUCAAAAAGCAACUCAGCUUAGUGUAAGCAAAUGGUUGAAAGCCCAACCAAAACUCUAGCUAUGGAACCUAACCUGCAUUAGAAAGAGAGCCAACUUCAAACAGAAGUUAGACCACCAUCUCCACACACCGAAACUCAACAAGGCUCUCUGAAGGAAGACGAGGCAACAGAUGAAUCACAUGGAAUUCGAAUGUCGAAGAAGAGACACCAAAUGAUUCGAUUAGAAAAUUUUUCCUGGAAGUUGAGUUGCCAAGAAGGACCCUAAAAGCAUUGAAGCACAUAGACAUUGCCAAGAGAAAGCUUUGAACCAAAUGGAUCCUGACAGGCGGUGAGAUAGAGCUCUCUUAGCUCUUAUGGCCUUUAAGAGACUGGAUGCCAUGGAGAUAAGUCACCAGGAGACGUCUUUGAGAGGUGUCACGCCCACUAAAACAUAUCAACUUGUCAAUCCAACUUUCAGUUUCAAGAUAGCAAAAAACUCACUGCAAGUCCCUUGUUCCUAACACACAUGAGGCAAAUCAAAGAAACCCUCCUUAAAAUGCCCCAAAUCCACUACAAAAACAUGCACAAAGUUAUUUAUGGACAAUCCCACCGGAAAUGAGGAGGGCAACCCACAUUCUGAGUAGGGGAGGAAAGUCCCCCUUGCCCAAAGGGGUAGGAAAGACCGCUCAAUGGCAAAAGAAAGAGAGUCCGAGCCUCAUGAAGAAGAAGCGAAAACGAGAGAAAAAAAGAUAAGGUCUUAUGUGUUAGUUGCCUCAAAACCGAGUACUUCUAUUUUUUCAUAUGUUGAUUUUCAUCUUCUUCUCCGUUUUAAUUGAAGUAGGCUAAACCCUAACGCUUCGUUUGGAUCGUUAGUUAUGUAGAGGAAACGAGAGAAAUUAAAGAAUAG